AGUGGUCAGAGUUUUACGAGAAAACCUCAGCUUCAUUGGAACAGCGGUUUCGAAAGAUUACAAAUGCGCAUAUCAGGAUAUGUCUUUCUUGACAUAUUAAGCUGGAAUAUCGAAAAAAAUUUCACACAGAAAAAGAAAUUCCGCAGUAUUCUUCAGUUUCCUAUGAUUAUCAAUAUAUAAUGUCAGCACGUAAGCACUGAGAUAUGCCCUUAAAGUGUACUUUUAAUCAUUUUAGUAUCUGUUUUCUGCAGGUAAUUUUGCAAUUCUUGUAUCAAGUAAACUGACUAUCAAAAGAAGUCUUGUGUAUCAGGCCUUAGCAUUGGCUGUCAUGUAUGUAGGGGUUGUAAUUGGAGCUUUACUGGGAACUGCUUUAGAUCUUACAGACUGGAUCUUCGCAGUGACUGCUGGAAUGUUUCUGUUUGUUGCACUUGCUGAAAUGUUACCCGAGCUUCUACAUUCAACAUCGACACACACAGAGAACAAAGGAUUAAUAAUAGUCUUACAAAAUGCUGGACUUAUAACAGGAAUUGCUNUUAUGGGGAUAUUAGCAACAUUUGAAGAG
rnacentral:misc_RNA from 1 species